GACGAACGCUGGCGGCGCGCUUAACACAUGCAAGUCGAGCGAAGCGGCGGACGGGUGAGUAACACGUGAGUAACCUGCCUUAGACAUUGGGAUAGCCUCGGGAAACCGGGAUUAAUACCAAAUGGUCUAAGAUGGACUCGCGUCCCAUUAGCUCGUUGGUGAGGUAACGGCCCAUCAAGGCGACGAUGGGUAGACGGGCUGAGAGGUUGAACGGCGACAUUGGAACUGAGAAACGGUCGAAAGUCUACGGGAGGGAGCAGUGUGGAAUAUUGCACAAUGGAGGGUACUCUGAGGCAGCGACGCCGCGUGAACGAAUUAGGCUUUCGAGUCGUAAAGUUCUUUUAUAUGUUAAGCGUUACCAUAAGAAAAAGCCCCGGCUAACUACGUGCCAGCAGCCGCGGUAAUUC
rnacentral:rRNA from 1 species